GCAAACGGGAUUAGAUACCCUGGUAGUCCACGCUGUAAACGAUGUCGAUUUGGAGGUUGUGCCCUUGAGGCGUGGCUUCCGGAGCUAACGCGUUAAAUCGACCGCCUGGGGAGUACGGCCGCAAGGUUAAAACUCAAAUGAAUUGACGGGGGCCCGCACAAGCGGUGGAGCAUGUGGUUUAAUUCGAUGCAACGCGAAGAACCUUACCUACUCUUGACAUCCAGAGAACUUAGCAGAGAUGCUUUGGUGCCUUCGGGAACUCUGAGACAGGUGCUGCAUGGCUGUCGUCAGCUCGUGUUGUGAAAUGUUGGGUUAAGUCCCGCAACGAGCGCAACCCUUAUCCUUUGUUGCCAGCGGUUCGGCCGGGAACUCAAAGGAGACUGCCAGUGAUAAACUGGAGGAAGGUGGGGAUGACGUCAAGUCAUCAUGGCCCUUACGAGUAGGGCUACACACGUGCUACAAUGGCAUAUACAAAGAGAAGCGACCUCGCGAGAGCAAGCGGACCUCAUAAAGUAUGUCGUAGUCCGGAUUGGAGUCUGCAACUCGACUCCAUGAAGUCGGAAUCGCUAGUAAUCGUAGAUCAGAAUGCUACGGUGAAUACGUUCCCGGGCCUUGUACACACCGCCCGUCACACCAUGGGAGUGGGUUGCAAAAGAAGUAGGUAGCUUAACCUUCGGGAGGGCGCUUACCACUUUGUGAUUCAUGACUGGGG
rnacentral:rRNA from 1 species